rnacentral:rRNA from 1 species
GGAUUAGAUACCCUGGUAGUCCACGCCGUAAACGAUGAAUGCUAGAUGUCGGGGAAGUUUGUUCCUCGGUUUCGCAGCUAACGCAUUAAGCAUUCCGCCUGGAGACUACGAUCGCAAGAUUAAAACUCAAAGGAAUUGACGGGGGCUCGCACAAGUGGUGGAGCAUGCGGUUUAAUUCGAUGCUACGCGAAAAACCUUACCAACCCUUGACAUGGUGGUCGCGGAUUCAGAGAUGAAUCCUUCAGUUCGGCUGGACCACACACAGGUGUUGCACGGCUGUCGUCAGCUCGUGCUG